rnacentral:lncRNA from 1 species
UUGAAGACGCCACAUGGGAACCAUAUGAGGAGCUGAAGACCCGGUUCCCUGAGUUCAUGGAAUCUCAGCCUUGAGGACAAGGCUGAUUUGAAGAGGGCGGGUCUGUUAGGACUCUAGCUAGGAGAGUCCUAAUUGAGAGGGAUAUUCUGUUAGGACUCUAGCUAGGAGAGUCCUAAUUGAGAGGGACACUCUGUUAGGACUCUAACUAGGAGAGUCCUAAUUGAGAGGGACAUUCUGUUAGGAG